GAAAGUUAAAGCAAAAAAUGGUGAGAAACAGCAAGAGGGAAAGAAAGAGACAGAGAAAGAGCAGGAGCCAUGACUUGGGGAGCUAAUUACUCAAAUUUGAUGGCACAUUCUGUCAUUUGGCAUUCCUGUUCUGAAGCUGGUCUGCUGAGCUGGUCACAUUCGGUUUCCCUAAUUGUUUUGUGAGUGCCAAGAUGGCAGUAGACACUUCUCUGCUGAACGCCUCUCCCACAGGACACUGAGCACUGAGGAAGAACAAAAAAAUGGAGUCGAUGCAGGAUGAUGCAGCCAAGUAACAUCAAACGGGCCCCAACAACUCUUCCUCUGGUGCAGAGAGAUUCUAAUCAGUUCAAGCCUUUAAGAUGCAGCAGGAAGGCUGAUUUAUGCUAAGUAGAAAUAGGUAGAUACUGAAGCUGGAACAUCCGUAACGGCUUUCGAGACAUUUAGACAGCCAUCAGACUAAGUGAAUCUAUUACAUUUAUCAUGUCAGUUUUGAAACAAUGAUGGUGGUAUUACUAUCAAACCUUCAAUAUUUUGCUCUAUACAGCACUGACAUUUUCAUUUCACUGCCACAUACCUCUGCUACAGGAACCCUUCUAUUUUCUAUAGGAAGCCUGUCCAAGUUGCAUGGUAAAAUGAACACCUACUACCCUGUUUCCCCAAAUAUAAGACAUCCCCUGAAAAUAAGACAUAGUAGAGGUUUUGCUGAAGUGCAAAAUAUAAGGCAU